rnacentral:snoRNA from 13 species
UUCCACAGCUACUGGUCUGCAGCUGUUCUUAUGGUAGCGGUUGUGGCAUUCCACUGUGGGAAAGCAACUGUCACAAUUAAACACCUCUUUCUUGGCAAACCAGAAAGGGGGCAUAUUUGUGACAGACAGGA